UACGGAGGGUGCGAGCGUUGUCCGGAAUCAUUGGGCGUAAAGCGCGCGCAGGUGGUUCCUUAAGUCUGAUGUGAAAGCCCACGGCUCAACCGUGGAGGGUCAUUGGAAACUGGGGAACUUGAGUGCAGAAGAGGAAAGUGGAAUUCCAAGUGUAGCGGUGAAAUGCGUAGAGAUUUGGAGGAAGACCAGUGGCGAAGGCGACUUUCUGGUCUGUAACUGACACUGAGGCGCGAAAGCGUGGGGAGCA
rnacentral:rRNA from 1 species